rnacentral:rRNA from 1 species
GCAAGUCGAACGAGACCUUCGGGUCUAGUGGCGCACGGGUGCGUAACGCGUGGGAACCUGCCCAAAGGUGCGGAAUAACUAAGGGAAACUUGAGCUAAUACCGCAUGAUGCCUAAAGGCCAAAGAUUUAUCGCCUUUGGAUGAGCCCGCGUCGGAUUAGCUUGUUGGUGGGGUAAUGGCCCACCAAGGCGACGAUGCGUAGCUGGUUUGAGAGGAUGAUC